AUAUAUAUGCAUUAUUGAAAAUAGAGAUUACUCCGAAGUAGCAGUAGCAUUACCUUUAAUUCUAUAAUUAUAUACUGCCUUUUAAGACCAACACUUUUUCAAUUGCACCGACUAGUAAUCGUUGCAAUUGCAACCCUACUAUAAAACGGUGCAGUCUCUUUGGGGUCUUAACUUGAUAGCCUUAUGUAUGUGUAAUAUAUAUAUAUAUA